rnacentral:rRNA from 1 species
GACGAACGCUGGCGGCGUGCUUAACACAUGCAAGUCGAACGGAAAGGCCCUGCUUUUGUGGGGUGCUCGAGUGGCGAACGGGUGAGUAACACGUGAGUAACCUGCCCUUGACUUUGGGAUAACUUCAGGAAACUGGGGCUAAUACCGGAUAGGAGCUCCUGCUGCAUGGUGGGGGUUGGAAAGUUUCGGCGGUUGGGGAUGGACUCGCGGCUUAUCAGCUUGUUGGUGGGGUAGUGGCUUACCAAGGCUUUGGCGGGUAGCCGGCCUGAGAGGGUGACCGGCCACAUUGGGACUGAGAGACGGCCCAGACGCCUACGUGAGGCAGCAGGGGGGAAUAUUGCACAAUGGGCGGAAGCCUGAUGCAGCAACGCCGCGUGCGGGAUGACGGCCUUCGGGUUGUAAACCGCUUUCGCCUGUGACGAAGCGUGAGUGACGGUAAUGGGUAAAGAAGCACCGGCUAACUACGUG